rnacentral:tRNA from 2 species
AUUUAUAUAAUAUAUUUAGUAUAUUUGACUUCCAAUCAAAAAGUUUAAAUUUUUUUAAUAUAAAUA